UCCUACGGGUGGCUGCAGUGAGGAAUAUUGGUCAAUGGACGCAAGUCUGAACCAGCCAUGCCGCGUGCAGGAUGACGGUCCUAUGGAUUGUAAACUGCUUUUAUACAGGAAGAAACACUCCCUCGUGAGGGAGCUUGACGGUACUGUAGGAAUAAGGAUCGGCUAACUCCGUGCCAGCAGCCGCGGUAAUAAGGAGGAUCCAAGCGUUAUCCGGAAUCAUUGGGUUUAAAGGGUCCGUAGGCGGUUUAAUAAGUCAGUGGUGAAAGCCUAUCGCUUAACGAUAGAACGGCCAUUGAUACUGUUAGACUUGAAUUAGUGGGAAGUAACUAGAAUAUGUAGUGUAGCGGUGAAAUGCUUAGAUAUUACAUGGAAUACCAAUUGCGAAGGCAGGUUACUAUCACUAUAUUGACGCUGAUGGACGAAAGCGUGGGGAGCGAACAGGAUUAGAUACCCUUGUAGUCAG
rnacentral:rRNA from 1 species